GAGAGAAGGGUGAAAAUGGCUGUGGAAGAGAGGGGUGAGUCAUAUAUAGUGUUGUAACAAUUGCACUUAAGCCCCUCCACUUGUUUCCUCUUGAACUGCCCAGACUGGGCAUUUUUCGCCUUCGGGGACCGGUCUCCCCGACCAGGGACCGGUUCCCGAACGGGGGUUUUCCAGGACUUAGCCAAAUUUUCGAGUUUUCGGCUGUUGCGCAGCGAGGGACCGGUCUGCCCGUCAGGGACCGGUCUCCCGAGGACCGGUCUCACCACCAGGGACCGGAUGCCUCAGGAUUUCCUGGCAGGCUACGCGCACGGGGACCGGUCUCUCCUUCAGGGACCGGUCCCCGAGAGCUCAAAAUCUGGGACUUAGCCAGAUUUUCAAAUUUGCUCUCCGGGUCCCUUUUUGCUCCGUUUAUGAACUCCAAUGCACUCAGGGUCCACUUUAACUCGUUCAAUUAUGCGUUCCGCUCGUUUUGAC
rnacentral:lncRNA from 1 species